rnacentral:lncRNA from 1 species
CAACAAAAUUAAUGUUAAUCUCAUUCUGGUUUAUUAUAAAGAUUAACUGCAUAUAUCCUUUAAUUUAAAAACUAAAGAAAUCUUACAUAAUUGACCUUUUUUUCUAACAGUUGCUUCCGUUGGAAAAACAACUUGAAAAUGAACUAUUUCAAAAACUUUUAUUGUAAGCCUUUUAUCAAGACUCAGGAAUUAAAAAUCAAAUAGCAGGAUUAGUGUCCUUUUUAUUGUAGGAAUAGUCUUAUUUUUAGAAAUAUCAUGAAUAUUGUAUCUAAAAUGAAUAUAUAUUUAUACAUGUACUUAAUAUAUUAGUUGUGAUUGAAAUAAUGAAAAAUAUUUUAUUCCAUGUAUUUAUUGAUGAACAUGAGUAAUUUAUCUUCUUUAAAAAAUCUCUGAACAGGAAACAAUUCAAACGAUAUGAGUGUAUGAACAAUGAAAUCACUCAUAAUCCUUAAUAUUCAAAAUGAGAAUUUUUCAUACCUAGAACUAUGGCAAAGUAUCUGGGCUUAUAAACCAUUGUAUAGUUAAAUAGCUAUAUUGGAUUUUUUUUUUCUUUUUUGUGUAACAAAAAUGCUGCUCACUUUUUUUUAACAAUUAAACAAUUAAACACUGGGUUGAUACCCCUGUUUGUGAAUUGUUUGUGCCAGAGCUCAGUAGUCAAUUUGAAAAUUACAAAGACACAAAGGUUCCUUCUCUCUCAGACUUUAGUUGUAUGUCAUCUGAACUGUUAUUUAUAUUUCUCAAAGUUUCUUAUCAUCCUUAAAUUCUAAACCAACUUAUACUUUAUUUCAUGUUUAGCCUUUCCAAACAACUUUUCAGUGAUUUGUUUUUAUGAUUUUCCAUGUACAGUUUACUUAUUUUACAUAUUGAAGACAAUUUUUCUACUCAGAAAAGUGUCAAAAAUAAAUUUUUCGGGAAAUAAGUUGGUUUACAGUAGUUGACUUUGCAAAGUAGACAGAAAAUAAAGAAUUAUAUAACUGCAUCCCCCUCUCUUUUCCUUUCUGUCUUUCUCAGUUUCAUGCCUAUAAACAAAUCACUGUAUUACAUACAAACAUGGCAUACUAAUUCAAAUAUUCACUAAAUCCAGGCUUGCCGGUAUAAACGUUUUUACCUAUUUUCAAUCAUUAAAAGGGAGAUAACUUGCUGAUGAUUAUCAUCAACACAUUUUUUUAGAUCUCUUUGUUGUAUACAUUUGCCUAUGCAAAUUACUAAUCUGUGAUACACUAUUUUACCAUUCCAGCAAAGAUUUAUAUCAUUGUAGUUUUUUCUCUUUAGUUAUGCAUAUUUAUGUUGUUUUAGUUCAGUGCCAAGUUAUGAUGAAUUUUAAUAAAAAUAAAAUUUCUAAUUAAUUGUCUUUAAG